GAUGAACGCUGGCGGCGUGCCUAAUACAUGCAAGUCGAGCGAACAGACGAGGAGCUUGCUCCUCUGACGUUAGCGGCGGACGGGUGAGUAACACGUGGAUAACCUACCUAUAAGACUGGGAUAACUUCGGGAAACGGGACCUAAUACCGGAUAAUAUAUUGAACCGCAUGGUUCAAUAGUAAAAAACGGUUUUGCGGUCAAUUAUAGAUGGAUCCGCGCCGCAUUAGCUAGUUGGUAAGGUAACGGCUUACCAAGGCGACGAUGCGUAGCCGACCUGAGAGGGUGAUCGGCCACACUGGAACUGAGACACGGUCCAGACUCCUACGGGAGGCAGCAGUAGGGAAUCUUCCGCAAUGGGCGAAAGCCUGACGGAGCAACGCCGCGUGAGUGAUGAAGGUCUUCGGAUCGUAAAACUCUGUUAUUAGGGAAGAACAAAUGUGUAAGUAACUAUGCACGUCUUGACGGUACCUAAUCAGAAAGCCACGGCUAACUACGUG
rnacentral:rRNA from 1 species